UGGGGAAUAUUGCACAAUGGGGGAAACCCUGAUGCAGCGACGCCGCGUGAGCGAAGAAGGCCUUCGGGUCGUAAAGCUCUUUUAUGAGGGAAGAUAAUGACGGUACCUCAAGAAAAAGCCCCGGCUAACUACGUGCCAGCAGCCGCGGUAAUACGUAGGGGGCUAGCGUUGUCCGGAAUCACUGGGCGUAAAGGGUUCGCAGGCGGAAUAACAAGUCAGAUGUGAAAGGCAUGGGCUCAACCCAUGUAAGCAUUUGAAACUGUAAUUCUUGAGAAGUGGAGAGGUAAGUGGAAUUCCUAGUGUAGCGGUGAAAUGCGUAGAUAUCAGGAGGAACACCGGUGGCGAAGGCGGGUCUCUGGGCCGUUACUGACGCUGAGGAGCGAAAGCGUGGGGAGCGAACAGG
rnacentral:rRNA from 1 species